rfam:Camelus ferus unplaced genomic scaffold scaffold1104, whole genome shotgun sequence.
GAGGGUAUAGCUCAGUGGUAGAGUGCAUGCCUCGCAUGCAUGAAAUCCUGGGUACAAUCCCUAGUACCUCCA